UCAGCAGCCGCGGUAAUACGAAGGGGGCUAGCGUUGUUCGGAAUUACUGGGCGUAAAGCGCGUGUAGGCGGGUCUUUAAGUCAGGGGUGAAAUGCCAAGGCUCAACCUUGGAACUGCCUUUGGUACUGGGGAUCUUGAGUCCGGGAGAGGUGAGUGGAACUGCGAGUGUAGAGGUGAAAUUCGUAGAUAUUCGCAAGAACACCAGUGGCGAAGGCGGCUCACUGGCCCGGAACUGACGCUGAGACGCGAAAGCGUGGGGAGCAAACAGGAUUAGAUACCCUGGUAGUCCACGCUGUAAACGAUGGAUGCUAGCCGUUGGGGAGCUUGCUCUUCAGUGGCGCAGCUAACGCUUUAAGCAUCCCGCCUGGGGAGUACGGUCGCAAGAUUAAAACUCAAAGGAAUUGACGGA
rnacentral:rRNA from 1 species